AGAGUUUGAUCCUGGCUCAGGAUCAACGCUGGCGGCGUGCCUAAAACAUGCAAGUCGGACGCGUGCCUUCGGGCACGAGUGGCGGACGGCUGAGUAACACGUGGGUGACCUGCCCACCGGUGGGGGAUAACCGCCCGAAAGGGAGGCUAAGACCGCAUGCGCUCUGGCUCGCAGGAGGCAGAGGAAAGCUGCAAAGCGCCGGUGGAGGGGCCCGCGGCCGAUUAGCUAGUUGGUGGGGUAACGGCCUACCAAGGCGACGAUCGGUAGCCGGUCUGAGAGGAUGGUCGGCCAGACUGGGACUGAGACACGGCCCAGACUCCUGCGGGAGGCAGCAGUUAGGAAUUUUGGGCAAUGGGCGCAAGCCUGACCCAGCAACGCCGCGUGGGCGACGAAGCCCUUCGGGGUGUAAAGCCCUUUUCGACGGGACGAUAAUGACGGUACCGUCGGAAGAAGCCCCGGCUAACUACGUGCCAGCAGCCGCGGUAAUACGUAGGGGGCGAGCGUUGUCCGGAUUCAUUGGGCGUAAAGCGCGCGCAGGCGGCUGUGCGAGCCCGGCGUGAAAGCCCCCGGCUCAACCGGGGGAGGUCGUCGGGGACCGCACGGCUAGAGGCCGGUAGGGGCGAGCGGAAUUCCCGGUGUAGUGGUGGAAUGCGUAGAUAUCGGGAGGAACACCAAUGGCGAAGGCAGCUCGCUGGGACGGUACUGACGCUGAGGCGCGAAAGCGUGGGGAGCAAACAGGAUUAGAUACCCUGGUAGUCC
rnacentral:rRNA from 1 species